rnacentral:lncRNA from 1 species
CCACGAUGGCUGGGGGUCCGUGUCACCCUGACGUCUGGGAGGGUCCGUGUCACUGUGACGGCUGGGAGUCCGUGUCACCCUGACACCUGGAGGUCCAUGUCACCCUGACAGCUGGGAGGGUCCGUGUCACCAGGGUGCCAGGGGGGCCGUGUCGCCGUGAUGCUCAGCGGUUGGUGUCACCGUGAUGGGUGGUAUCGCUGUCACCGCCAUGUUUGGGGGCUGCGUCACCAUGAUGUCUGGCACCGGUGUCAAUGAGAUGUCGGGGGAGCUGUGUCACCGUGAUGCUCAGCGGGUCCAUGUCACCCUGACAGCUGGGAGGGUCCGUGUCACCAGGGUGCCAGGGGGGCCGUGUCGCCGUGAUGCUCAGCGGUUGGUGUCACCGUGAUGGGUGGUAUCGCUGUCACCGCCAUGUUUGGGGGCUGCGUCACCAUGAUGUCUGGCACCGGUGUCAAUGAGAUGUCGGGGGAGCUGUGUCACCGUGAUGCUCAGCGGUUGCUGUCACCAUGAUGUCUGGUAGCAGUGUCACCGUGAUACCUGCUAUUGGUGUCACCGCAACGUCUGGGGGCCGCAUCGCCAUGACAUUCAGAGGUUGGUGUCACCGCGAUGUCUGGUACCGGAGUCACCGUGACGUUCAGAGGUUGCUGUCACCACGAUGUUCACCGUGAUGCUCAGGGGUUGGCGUCACCACAACGUUCACCGUGAUGCUCAGGGGUUGGCGUCACCGUGAUACAUGGGGUUUGGUGCCACUGCAUCGUCUGGUAUUGGUGUCACUCUGGUGUCUGAUACCGGUGUCACCGCGAUCUCUGGUACUGGCACCACUGCGAUGUCCAGGGGGCUGUGUCACCGUGAUGCUCAGGGGUUGGCGUCACCACAACGUUCACCGUGAUGCUCGGGGCUUGGCGUCACCACGUUCACCCGUGAUGCUCGGGGCUUGGCAUCACCGUGACGCUCAGGGGUUGGCGUCACUGUGCAUGCACACACAGAUGUGCACGUGCACACACACUCACACCCAUGCACGUGCACACCCAUGCACACACACACACUUGUGCACACACACACGUGCACACGUGCAUGCACACACAGAUGUGCACGUGCACACACACUCACACCCAUGCACGUGCACACCCAUGCACACACACACACUUGUGCACACACACACGUGCACACGUGCAUGCACACACAGAUGUGCACGUGCACACACACUCACACCCAUGCACGUGCACACCCAUGCACACACACACACUUGUGCACACACACACGUGCACACGUGCAUGCACACACAGAUGUGCACGUGCACACACACUCACACCCAUGCACGUGCACACCCAUGCACACACACACACUUGUGCACACACACACGUGCACACGUGCAUGCACACACAGAUGUGCACGUGCACACACACUCACACCCAUGCACGUGCACACCCAUGCACACACACACACUUGUGCACACACACACGUGCACACGUGCAUGCACACACAGAUGUGCACGUGCACACACACUCACA